rnacentral:lncRNA from 1 species
UACGUAUUCUUUCAAGAGUUGCCAAUAUAAAAAAAACAUCAUUCGAAACAAAUCCGGGCCGCUUGGGCAUGACCUUCACCUCUCCUUUCUCGUCCAGCAGCGCUCCGUCAGUCCAAGCCAGUAUGCAUCUGAGGCAGAAAAUUUAUUCAAGCUCUGAAGUCCCAAACAACUGAAAAUGCUCCAAAACACCAUCACGUGACCCUGGUAUUCUCAAAGUGCUGGUGAAAUAGCAGACACUACAUCUGUCUAUGAGCAAUGGACAGAACUGAGAAUACCUUAUCAUGAACAGUAGUGUGCACUGCUGGCAACAUCCUGUUUUUUUGGCACACAAUAGCAUCCCUCCUGAUCAAGUGAAAAGGAAUCCUAUGACACCGCUUGAUCUUUGUCUGACAUGGAAAUCUGCAAAUCAAAUAAGGUGGAAGAAUAACAUCUGGUUAAAAAAAUUAUGUGGAAAAGUCAGCGGGUCAGAAAUCACCCACAUAACUGCUGUUAUCUGAACACAGUUCAGAUAUCCGCUUUAAUGAAGUCAUGAACUGGACGCUGCGCUCUUGAUUCCAGCACUAAUAUUGUCAUGACCAAAUGUUAAUAAUUUUCAUAUUCAGCAAGUUGAAGAUGACUGACACCAUCUUUAAGUUUCACAAAUAUGUUAUUCAGAAGUUUUUUGUUUUCACUACUGAUUUAUAUAUAGUAUUAAAAAAUGGAUUUCUGCAAUAGAAUAAAGUAUUGAAAUACA